rnacentral:rRNA from 1 species
UACGUAGGGUGCGAGCGUUAAUCGGAAUUACUGGGCGUAAAGCGUGCGCAGGCGGUUCGUUGUGUCUGAUGUGAAAGCCCCGGGCUCAACUUGGGAACGGCAUUGGAAACUGGCGAGCUAGAGUGUGGCAGAGGGGGGUGGAAUUCCUGGUGUAGCGGUGAAAUGCGUAGAUAUCAGGAGGAACACCGGUGGUGUAGACGGCUCUCUGGACCGUAACUGACGCUGAGGCACGAAAGCGUGGGUAGCAAACAGG